UGGUUCUGGCAUCGAUGAAGAACGCAGCGAAAUGCGAUAAGUAAUGUGAAUUGCAGAAUUCAGCGAAUCAUCGAAUCUUUGAACGCACAUUGCGCCCGCCAGUAUUCUGACGGGCAUGCCUGUUCGAGCGUCAUUUCAACCCUCAGGCCCGGCCUGGUGAUGGGGCCCCUGUAGUCUUCCUCUACAGGACCCCGAAGAGCAGCGGCGGGCCCUGCUGGACUCCGAGCGCAGUAAUUUCUCUCGCUCUGGUGGCCUUUAGGUGCCCUGCCCUCCAAAUUAAUUUUCUAUGGUUGACCUCGGAUCAGGUAGGAAUACCCGCUGA
rnacentral:misc_RNA from 1 species